GACGAACGCUGGCGGCGCGCCUAACACAUGCAAGUCGAACGGAAAGGCCUGCUUUCCCUUGUGGAUUGCGGGUACUCGAGUGACGAACGGGUGAGUAACACGUGAGUGAUCUGCCCCCAACUUGGGUAUAAGCCUGGGAAACUGGGUCUAAUUCCCGAUAGGACUGCAGGGUGGUGCCUGUGGUGGAAAACGAUUUUCUAGUGGUUGGGGAUGAGCUCGCGGCCUAUCAGCUUGUUGGUGGGGUAAUGGCCUACCAAGGCGGCGACGGGUAGCCGGCCUGAGAGGGUGGACGGCCACAUUGGGACUGAGAUACGGCCCAGACUCCUACGGGAGGCAGCAGUGGGGAAUAUUGCACAAUGGGCGGAAGCCUGAUGCAGCGACGCCGCGUGGGGGAUGACGGCCUUCGGGUUGUAAACUCCUUUCGACCGCGAGGAAGCCGCCUGGUUGGAAGGGUGGUGACGGUAGUGGUAGAAGAAGCACCGGCUAACUACGUG
rnacentral:rRNA from 1 species